GAUCUCCCUUUAGUCCAAAACUACAUGUUUUUUUGUUUGUUUGUUUUUCAGCAGAAACUCCUGUAUAUCCAGGCUCCUCCCUUACCUCUUGGAACAGUUCCCCAGAGCUAUCUGAGAGGCUGCCUUCCCAGGCUGUAGUCCUCAGUAAGUUGCGUGUUUUUUUCCCAGGGGUCAGUAUGAAUAGCUGCUUGAUGUAAGUCAUCACAGAAAUGCAGUUUUUAAAAAAUGUUGCCGUUUUAGAGGCUAUAUGAUUGGUAAGAAACUGAAAAGAUCAAUCCUGAUAACAAAGAUGUGGGGACAUGGCAGUCUGGAGUGAAAACACAUAUCACAAUUUGCAAUUGAGUAAGUAAUGAAAAAUUAGAAAUUUUUAAUUUUUAAAAAUUAGAAAAAUUAAAAAUUUCCAGCCUUGCCACAUGCCCCUUCCAUGCUUCUUGUUGCCCUUGGACUAGCAGCUGGUCCUGCCCAUCCCAUCGCUUUACCUCUGCUACAGCCACAGUGACUUCUCAGUUCCUAAACUUGGCCACCUCAUUAACCAACAGUUUUUGGGUAAGACCGUGGAUUCCUCAAUACGGCUAACCAUCAUUUCAAACACCCCUGUUACUGGCCCCAUUUUACAGAUGGGGAAACAGGCACAGAAAGCUAACAGAUAGUGGAAGAAGUACCAGAGCCCAUGCCUAACCCCGAGCUAUCCUUUUCAGCUCCCUGCUCCAAAACGCUAACCUUCCCCCCACCCCAGGGCCAUCCACAGUGUGCCUUUCUCAGAGAAGCCUUCGUACUCCCUCCACCUCCCACCACAGCUGAGAGGGGCUACCUUCCAUGUAGUCCUACAGCACUGAGCAUCACCUUCACAGCUUGAUUUCUCCAAAUGAACGUAAUCAUGUGCAAUGUAGUACAAGGCUUAAGUCUCCUCCCACCUCUCCAUCUCCCACCCCCACCAAAGGAAUGAGAGCUCUAUCUUGUUCACCCAUGCCUAGUGUGUCCAGGCUGGCAAACGGUGAUGCUCAUUUAUAUUUAUAAAAUAAAAUGUAGAAGAACAUCUCUAGUGCUUAGAGAUGUGUACUAAAGAAUUCAGCAGUAAAAUGUUGUAAUGGUUGUAAUUUACUUUUAAAUACUUAAAUGGAAGCAAGAUGAAGCAGGUAUGAUCAAUUUCAUUUGUAUGCUGCUUUAUAUACUUCCAAAUAAAUGACAAGCCAGUUUGCUUUUGUCUGCA